UAUAGAAAGGAACUAUUUGAAUAUCCCGGAUAUAUAUCAAAGAGUAUUGUAGUGUCAUUGUGGACGGUUGGACAUGAAACUCUAAGAGAAAUUCUAUAAAUAAACAAAGUGAAAUGAAAUAUCUGAGUAACUUUAGGAGAAUAAAUCAAAAGAGAUUCUAAAAUUAGUGAGAAUGAAAUUAGAAUAGCCUAAUAUGCUCGGAUUUUUUUUUUCAAAAAAAACAGGGUAUAUAAAAAAGUAAAACGAAUUUAAGUUUGUUUGAAUAAAGGGGAACCUUCCUCUAAGGCUAAAUAUGAUAUAUAUAUCGAUAGCGGAUUGUACUGUGAAGGAAAGGAUAAGAAAAGUAGUUUUAUAAGCAGUUCGAAAAAAAUUUAAAUAUUAAAUAAGAACGUACCUUUUGCAUAAUGGGUGAGCAAGUUAAUAUUAGAUGCAAGCAUUAUUGCCUAGCGAAAGCGAUUAUCUUCAAAUGAGUAAGUAUCUAGUAUUAGACCCGAAACCUAGUGAUCUUACCAUGAUCAAGAUUAUAAAAGUCUGAACGGGUUAUUGUUGCAUAAAUAUCCGAUGAAUUGUGGUAAGUUGGUGAAAGACAAUACUGACUAGGAUAGCUGGUUUUCUGCGAAACCUAUCUAAGUAGGUCAUUUAAAUAACAUCAUAGCAGGUACAUAACUGUGAUCUCUGACAAUAUCGAUAGAUAUCGAAAUUUGUAUAUAUCGGGGGAUCGUAAAGAUUUUAUCGGUGAGUAAUUGCUCUCGGAAUGGCAAUGAUGAAUUUUAAAGAAUCGGACAUAGAAUGCUAAGGUUGUAUGUCAAAAGGGAAACAGCCCAGAACAAGUGUUAAGGUUCCAAAAUUAUUGUUAAGUGAAAUAAAGGUAGUAUUUUAUCUAAUUCGAUCAGGAAAUAGGCUUAGAAGCGGCCAUUUUUUGAAGACCUCGUAACAGAGCACUGAUUUCUAAUGGAGAAAGGCAUCUAAAAUUUAACGGAUCUAAAUAAUAUACCGAAACCUUGUCUUUAUACAUGAAUAAUAUAUAAAGGGUAGCAGAACAUAGGAGAAAUGAAAUAUAUAAUCUAUAAUAGAUUGUAUGAAAUAAUCCUAGAGAGAAUGCUUACAUGAGUAACGAAUAAGGGAAAAUUGAAGCCUUUGAGCCCGUCUUGAUGGUUACUUUAAUAUAAUUUAGGGUAACUGCUUUGUAUCCUUAAGGAUAUUUAAAAUAAAAAUUGAAUAUCUCUAAGAUAAAAGUUAGAACCUUCUUCUAGUCCCUCAUGCUUACAUGAGGCGGGGGAAGGUAAGAAGUAAGUCGGGGGGGAUGGAAAAAAUUAAGCCCUCGCCUAAAGUUUAUUUAAAAAGAAGUAACGGCCUCUAAGUUUAUUAACCUAAAGGAUUAAGCGAUGAGAAAACCUCGUUAUAUUAGUAACAACUUUAAAAUCGUAAAGUGUAUAAAGUUCUGGAAAAACAAUAUAACUGGGGAUCCUAGCCAAUAAACUAAAGAGAUGAGACUAGGAUUUUCCAAAAAGAACCGUAUAAAUUAAGCUAGUAGAGAAUACGAAGGCGAUUGAGAUAACAAUCAUAAAGGAACUCGGCAAAUUGACUACCGUAACUUCGGGAGAAGGAGAGCCGUUCCUCAUAAUUAAAAAAAAAUUAUGAAGAGAAAAGGAAGCAUAGAAUCGUGUUGUACGACUGUUUAAUUAAAACAAAGCACUUUGCAUUAAGAUAAAAAUCAAAGUAUUGAGUGUGAUGUCUGCCCAAUAUCGGCUGGUUAACGAGAUAUCUUAACUAAAAUUAGGUGUUUAAGGAUACCCCGAUGAAUGGCGGCCUUACCUAUGAGGGUCCUAAGGUAGCGGAAUACCUUGGCCGUUAAAUGCGGUCUUUGCAUGAAUGAUGUAACGAUACAACAGCUGUCUCUAUGAUUGACUCAGUGAAAUUAUAAUAACUGUGCAGAUACAGUUUACCUCUAGAUAGACGAGAAGACCCUAUGCAGCUUUACUGUAGCAAGCUAUUGCAUAUGAUCGGACAAAUUUGAGUGUACAAGGUAAUUGUUUAGAUAAAAUUGAAACACCUUUAUUUUAGUCUAUCAUAUAGCUAAAGAUGGUAUUAUACCAUAUUUCCUCUGGCUUUAUUUAGAUUUUUUGGUUGUUUACCUAUAUAUAAAGCCCCUAAUUGGGAGGAGGCAAUAUAUAUUAAAUGGGGUAAAUAAUGUUUCUUUUAUAUAGAUUGUACCCCAAUCUAUUUAUUUAGUGUUACCCUUUUGCGUGGCAUCCUACGGAGCCAAGACAUUAAAUAAAAAAAGAGAAAUCUUUAAAAGGUAGAGUGACCUUUUAACAAAGGGACAACGGCUUGUAGGCAGUUUAUGCGGGGCACAGAUCCCAUAAAGAGUACCUGGGUGUAUCCAAAAUUAAUUUUUAUGUAAGUAUUGUUGUAAUAACAAUUUUAAUAAAUUUAUUUACUUUUGCUUUUUUUUAAAGCAAAGGUUAAAAAAAAAUAUAAAAUGUUUUAUAUAUUAAUAUAAAUUUAAUCAGAAAGUUUUCUAUUUAAGUUGGAAUAAUUAUAUAUUUUAUAGGUAGAAUUUUAAUUAUAUGGAAAAUAGUAGUAAAAUAAAUACAUUAACUCUGUAGUGUAUUAAAAAAUUGCUAAAUCUUCGUCUUGAUUGGAAUUAGUGAUUUUGAAUUUUACUUGUCAAGUUUAAUGGCUGAAUUCUGCUUUACUGUUUGACUUACAUGUCUAUCAGUCGCGUAAGCGGGGCAUACGAUCACAAGACACAUUAAGGAAAGGUCUUGGAUUAUUGAAUAAAGUUACGCUAGGGAUAACAGGCUAAUUGCGCCAGAGAGUACAAAUUGGGUGCGCAGUUUGGCACCUCGAUGUCGGCUUAGCUUAUCCACAUGAAUGCAGGAAUCAUGAAGGGUACGGCUGUUCGUCGUUUAAUAAGCUACACGAGCUGGGUUAAAUACGUCGUGAGACAGUAUGGUUUCUAUCUUCUAGGGGAAAUUAGAGUAAAAUAAAGAUAGCCCCUUCGUACGAGAGGAGUUGGGUAUGUAAACCUCUGGUUUACCUGUUGUUUAUGUGCCAAUUAAAAAAAAGGAUAUUACUAUCACUUUAGUAAAUAAUAGCAUAGGCACGGCAGGAAAGCUAUGUUUAUAAAGAUAAGAGCUGAAAGCAUAUGAAGCUCGAAACUAACUUUAGGAUACUCUAAAAUGCGUAAAAGACUAUUACGUUAUAUAGGCUUUGGUUGUAAGAAUUUUAAGAUUUUUAGGCACAAAGUACUAAUUUAUUGAUUACUUAAUAAU
rnacentral:rRNA from 1 species